UACUGAGUACUAUGAGCUACGGCGAGUGAAGCGGGAACAGCUCAAAUUUGAAAUCUCCGUUGCUUGCAACGGCGAAUUGUAGUUUCGAGAAGCACUUUCUAGGCGGAUCGGCCCUGUCUAAGUUGCUUGGAACAGCACGUCAGAGAGGGUGACAACCCCGUCCGUGACGGGGCCGGCCGCUCACGAUGUGUUUUCGAAGAGUCGGGUUGUUUGGGAAUGCAGCCCAAAAUGGGUGGUAAACUCCAUCUAAAGCUAAAUAUAGGCACGAGACCGAUAGCGAACAAGUACCGUGAGGGAAAGAUGAAAAGAACUUUGAAAAGAGAGUUAAAAAGUACGUGAAACCGUUGAAAGGGAAACGAAUGGAGUUAGCAAUGCACCCUGCAAGAUUCAGCCGGUGGGUGGCUCGGACGGGCGGUUGGCGGAUCUGAAUGGACCGCCGUCGUUCGGCUCGUGUUCCCCCGCCGUCGCACUUCUUGCGGGUGCGCGUCAACGUCGGUUCGGACCCGGUUUUAAGUCUCGCGGGAAGGUAGGUCGGACGCUUCGGCGCCCUUCUGUUACAGCCCCCGUUACGAUGGCCGGGGCCGGACCGAGGCGUCGCAGCGCAUGCCUCUUUUGGCUAGGGUCCCUUCGUGCCGGUCGGUUGUCGACCGUGGUGGACUGCGUGCAGUGCACCCGAACUGCUGCCGGUUGCCGCGGAGGUGACUUCGUACCAUGCGCUCAGGACGUUGGCGGUCAUAUGGCUUCAUCCGACCCGUCUUGAAACACGGACCAAGGAGUCUAGCCUGUGCGCGAGUCUUAGGGUGAUGGAAACCCCGAGGCGCAAUGAAAGUGAAAGCGGCCUGGCCGCCGAGGUGAGAACCUCUCCUCCGGGAGUGGCGCAUCAUUGACCGAUCUAUUCUACUCUUAGGAAGACGGAGCAUAUCGCUAGCGAUCG
rnacentral:rRNA from 1 species